rnacentral:rRNA from 1 species
CCUACGGGAGGCAGCAGUGGGGAAUAUUGGACAAUGGGGCGAAAGCCUGAUCCAGCAAUGCCGCGUGAGUGAAGAAGGCCUUCGGGUUGUAAAGCUCUUUUUACCCCGGGGAAGAUAAUGACUGUACCGGGAGAAUAAGCUCCGGCUAACUCCGUGCCAGCAGCCGCGGUAAUACGGAGGGAGCUAGCGUUGUUCGGAAUUACUGGGCGUAAAGCGUACGUAGGCGGCUUGGUAAGUCAGAGGUGAAAGCCCACGACUCAAUCGUGGAACUGCCUUUGAGACUGCUUCGCUUGAAGAUGGGAGAGGUUAGUGGAAUUCCGAGUGUAGAGGUGAAAUUCGUAGAUAUUCGGAAGAACACCAGUGGCGAAGGCGGCUAACUGGACCAUUCUUGACGCUGAGGUACGAAAGCGUGGGGAGCAAACAGGAUUAGAUACCCUGGUAGUCCACGCCGUAAACGAUGAUAACUAGCUGUCGGGGCUCUUGGAGCUUCGGUGGCGCAGCUAACGCAUUAAGUUAUCCGCCUGGGGAGUACGGCCGCGAAGGUUAAAACUCAAAGUGAAUUGGACGGCUGGUAGACGUUGCGAGACGACGACGAGGAGAG